AUUGAACGCUGGCGGAAUGCUUUACACAUGCAAGUCGGGCGGCAGCGCGGGGGCAACCCUGGCGGCGAGCGGCGAACGGGUGAGUAAUACAUCGGAACGUGUCCUUGAGUGGGGGAUAGCUCGGCGAAAGCCGGAUUAAUAACCGCAUAAGCUCUGAGGAGGAAAGCGGGGGACUGGUAACGGCCUCGCGCUGUUGGAGCGGCCGAUGUCGGAUUAGCUAGUUGGUGGGUAAAGGCCCACCAAGGCGACGAUCCGUAGCUGGUCUGAGAGGAUGAUCAGCCACACUGGAACUGAGACACGGUCCAGACUCCUACGGGAGGC
rnacentral:rRNA from 1 species